GAACUGCCUCCUGUCACCCAUCAUACUGAACCCAUCACACUCAUCACAUCCGGCAAUCAUCAAGAAACUAUAUCCUUUUUUCUCAUGGACUCCCCUGUUGCUCCCAUUGUUUUAGGUCACCCCUGGUUGUCCAAACAUAAUCCACGAGUGGAAUGGGGUUCGAACACUAUCACAUUGUGGAGUGAAAGUUGUCAUGAGUCUUGUUUGGUUUCUGCCUGUCCUGUUGUUCCUGUGUCUGUCUUUCAGAAGGAGAUCAUGGCGUUGCCAAACGUGCCCGUAGAGUAUCUGGACCUGAAGGAAGUGUUCAGUAAGUCCCGGGCUGCUUCUCUUCCUCCGCAUCGUCCCUACGACUGUGCCAUAGACUUAGUGUCAGUUCCUGUGCCACUCUCUCCUGCUGCCUCACGCCACCAAGACCCGGACUUCCCACCUACACUCCACCUCAGGCCGGAUUUCUCACCAACCACCGUCUCCCUGGAGUGUUAUCGUCCCAUCGUCUUUGUGUAUCAUUGUUCUACUUGUCUUCAUUUCAUUAAAUCCUGUUAACUCGCA